AUACUUACCUGGCAGGGGAGAUACCAUGAUUAUGAAGGUGGCUUUCCCGGGGCAAGGAUUGUCCACUGCACUCUGGAUGUGCUGACCCCUGCGAUUUCUCCAAACGUGGGAAACAAAACAAAAAAGUUCUCAAAGUGUUAUAAUGUGUCUCUUCUUUUCU
rnacentral:snRNA from 1 species